rnacentral:rRNA from 1 species
GACGAACGCUGGCGGCGUGCUUAACACAUGCAAGUCGAACGGAAAGGCCCUGCUUUUGUGGGGUGCUCGAGUGGCGAACGGGUGAGUAACACGUGAGUAACCUGCCCUUGACUUUGGGAUAACUUCAGGAAACUGGGGCUAAUACCGGAUAGGAGCUCCUGCUGCAUGGUGGGGGUUGGAAAGUUUCGGCGGUUGGGGAUGGACUCGCGGCUUAUCAGCUUGUUGGUGGGGUAGUGGCUUACCAAGGCUUUGACGGGUAGCCGGCCUGAGAGGGUGACCGGCCACAUUAGGACUGAGAUACGGCCCAGACGCCUACGUGAGGCAGCAGGGGGGAAUAUUACACAAUGGGCGGAAGCCUGAUGCGGCAACGCCGCGUUCGGAAUGACGGCCUUCGGGUUGUAAACCGCUUUCGCCUGUGACGAAGCGUGAGUGACGGUAAUGGGUAAAGAAGCACCGGCUAACUACGUG